GGGGAACAGAAAAGCAGGGUGUUGGAGACGAAAGGGUAGUAAGGGGUUGGCUGAUCACAGUGUCUUACGAAGCUGUCAAAAGAAAAAAAAAUUUAAAGCCACUCCUAUUUUAUCAGGAAAAAAAGUUUCCCCCUUUUUUUUAUCCUUUGACAUACAAAGUUUUUAAGAUUUUUCUUUAAAAGUGGUAUUGUAAUUCAUCACAAGAACUGUUUGGUGAAAUUAACAUUAACUCCCACUCAUAGAUGGCUGAAACCAGUCUUGCAAUCCCAGAAUUUGGCAGAUUGAGGAAGGGGAAGUGUUCAAGGCCAGACUCAGCUAUAUAGCAAGCAUGGGCUAUUGAGAUGCCGUCUCACAUAAACAAAACAAGGGCUGGGUACCUAGCUUAGGGGUAGAGAGCUUAAGCUUGUCUAGCAAGCUCUGUCUUGGGUCCGAUUCCUAGGCAGUCCCCCUACCCCCCAAAAAACAAACAAACAAACAAACAAACAAACAAACAAAACAAACAAAGCAGGCAUGGCGACACAUUUGUAAUCUCAGUACUCAGGCGAUGGGGCCAGGCGAAUCCGAAAUUCAAGAUCAUCUAUACAGUGAGUUCUAGUUAUAGGUCAUCCUAGGCUACAUGAGGGUUAGGGGGAAGGAGGAGGGGGAAAGAAAGACUGGGAAACUGAGGCUGAGACGGUGGCUUUCGGUGUUCAAGGCUCUUCGUGCUCCUGACAGGGGGCGCUCUUCCCCAACUUCCCGGCCUCGUCAGCCCGCGCGGGUCAGGGUCCCCCUAAGAAAACCUUCUUGGAGCGAUUUUCCUUUCACGCGAACUCAGCGCCUCCUUCCAGCCGCGAGGUCUCAAAGGUGAGCCUCGCACAAAUGCGUUGCAGAUGUUUCUCCUUCCAGAUCGGCUACCGCGGCGCGGCGCGGCGCGGCUCCAGCAGCCGCGCGAUCCUGCAGCGAUCCGGUCCGCAUUUUCCUUCCCACUCUCCAACUUUUGCAAGCUGUAGUUAUUUGAUAAUGAUUUUUUUUUUUAAACCUCUCCCAAUAAUUGUUAUCCUCCCCGCCCGGUGCAGCUCAGGUGAUGGGUGCAGACGGUAGACGCCUCCUCCUCUUCCCGGGCGCGCAGCCCGAGGCCCUGGAGUAAGGAGCCGCAGCUCAGCCAGCAGAGAAAGCCAAGAUGGGGAAACUGAGGCUCUCGAGUGCUGUGUGGAUCUACCCAAGGUCCUCCCAGAGUACCUGCAGAAUUGGGGAUCCAACCUAGCUGCCACCACUCUGGGAAAGCAGGGCAAAUGAGAUGAGACAGCACACGGUAAAAGACGGCUUGAAAAGACGGCUCGUACUUCUCAAAGCAACGAAGACACAUCUACGGUUUUGCUUUGAAGUGCAUCGGAAAGAAAAGAGAAGAAGAAGGGGGAAAAACGCUUGCCGUAACGUUUAGCACCAAGUAAAGGAAUUCGAGAUAAAUGGGCCACCUGUGCGUCUCCUGACUGGCUUCCAAAGUUUCAAUAGUGGCUAGAAAUGGCUCAGCCUCAGUGGAUAAAACCCAAUGAUGCAGGGGCUGGGCAAGCUUUGCACAAUCUCCCCAGAGCCUUGCCCGGCACUCCCCCACUCCUAGUAUAUGUGUUUUGGGAAAUCGCCAACCUAUCACAGAUGAAUGGAUAAUGGGGAACAAAGAAACAAAUGCAACAAAGCAGGUUGCAAUCCCCCCUUUCCAGAUAUGUAGCACAUACUGGCCUUGAACUUGCUGUGUAGAACAGGAGGACCUUGAACUUGUGGUCCUCCUGCUUUCCCAUCCCUCCCACCUCUCAAGGGCUGGGACACCAUGCAGUAUUUACUCUGUGUGUGUA